AUUGAACGCUGGCGGCAGGCCUAACACAUGCAAGUCGAGCGGAUGAUUGGAGCUUGCUCCAUGAUUCAGCGGCGGACGGGUGAGUAAUGCCUAGGAAUCUGCCUGGUAGUGGGGGACAACGUUUCGAAAGGAACGCUAAUACCGCAUACGUCCUACGGGAGAAAGCAGGGGACCUUCGGGCCUUGCGCUAUCAGAUGAGCCUAGGUCGGAUUAGCUAGUAGGUGAGGUAAUGGCUCACCUAGGCGACGAUCCGUAACUGGUCUGAGAGGGUGAUCAGUCACACUGGAACUGAGACACGGUCCAGACUCCUACGGGAGGCAGCAGUGGGGAAUAUUGGACAAUGGGCGAAAGCCUGAUCCAGCCAUGCCGCGUGUGUGAAGAAGGUCUUCGGAUUGUAAAGCACUUUAAGUUGGGAGGAAGGGCAGUAAGUUAAUACCUUGCUGUUUUGACGUUACCAACAGAAUAAGCACCGGCUAACUUCGUGCCAGCCGCCGCCGUAAAAC
rnacentral:rRNA from 1 species